GUUUUUGAUUAAAAAUUGACGGUACGCUGGCCUAAUGUCAUAUUGUAAAUCCGCCUUAAGGCUAGGGUAGGCUAUAGCUUACCCUAAAGUUCAGAAGUCAGAAUUGAAGUUUAGUAGUUUUAUGUUGAGUUUAAUAGAAGUUUAGGGUAUGUCUCAACCGGCAGUUACUCACUCAGUCACUUUUGACACAGGCAAACAGAGACAGGAGAAAGCGAGGGGUCCGCAACGGGCUUGUAAUCUCUGGCGUAGAAACUCUUUGGUAAUCCAGUAAUCCAAAAGAUAAUAUUGGGAUAAUCCAGUAAUCUUGGAAGAAUUCAGUAAUCUGUAAUCCAGGAUUUAACAAAUUUACUGAAAAAUCCUAAUAAUAAUUUUGAGUAUCCGGAGUUAAAAACCCACCCAUUGGUUUUAUAAAAAGUUAUUAAAACCACACCCAUUGUUAAUUAAUAAGGUCAGCCUGUAAUCCUUGGUAAUCCAGCUUGUAAUCCCUGGUAUUACAUCCAAGUAAUCCAGCUUGUAAUCCCUGGUAAUCCAAAGAAUCUACCUAUAAUCUUGGUAAUCCACUCAUAAUCUUGGAAUUCUCCUGGUAAUCCAAAAAGAUUUUCUUCCCGUUGCGAACACCUCGGGAGAAAGAAAAGAAAACAGCCAUUUUAGCACAAUUAUUAUUAAGACUCAGAGUCACUGCUAGUGCUUGCUUCAAAGAACACUAAUCUCUCUGGGUCUGAGUCACUAUCAAAAUGAGGCAAAUUUG